rnacentral:rRNA from 1 species
AUUGAACGCUGGCGGCAUGCCUUACACAUGCAAGUCGAACGGUAACAGGUCUUCGGUUGCUGACGAGUGGCGAACGGGUGAGUAAUACAUCGGAACGUGCCCGAUCGUGGGGGAUAACGAAGCGAAAGCUUUGCAAAUACCUCAUACGAUCUACGUAUGAAAACAGGGGACCGCAAGGCCUUGCGCGAACGGAGCGGCCGAUGGCAGAUUAGGUAGUUGGUGGGAUAAAAGCUUACCAAGCCGACGAUCUGUAGCUGGUCUGAGAGGACGACCAGCCACACUGGGACUGAGACACGGCCCAGACUCCUACGGGAGGCAGCAGUGGGGAAUUUUGGACAAUGGGCGAAAGCCUGAGCCAGUCAGGCCGCGUGCAGGAUGAAGGCCUUCGGGUUGUAAACUGCUUUUGUACGGAACGAAAAGACUCUGGUUAAUACCUGGGGUCCAUGACGGUACCGUAAGAAUAAGCACCGGCUAACUACGU